rnacentral:rRNA from 1 species
CGGCGGACGGGUGAGUAACACGUGGAUAACCUACCUAUAAGACUGGGAUAACUUCGGGAAACCGGAGCUAAUACCGGAUAAUAUUUUGAACCGCAUGGUUCAAAAGUGAAAGACGGUCUUGCUGUCACUUAUAGAUGGAUCCGCGCCGCAUUAGCUAGUUGGUAAGGUAACGGCUUACCAAGGCAACGAUGCGUAGCCGACCUGAGAGGGUGAUCGGCCACACUGGAACUGAGACACGGUCCAG